rnacentral:rRNA from 1 species
UACGUAGGGGGCAAGCGUUGUCCGGAAUCAUUGGGCGUAAAGCGCGUGUAGGCGGUCCGGUAAGUCGGCUGUGAAAGCCCAGGGCUCAACCCUGGGAUGCCGGUCGAUACUGCCGGACUAGAGUUCGGAAGAGGCGAGUGGAAUUCCCGGUGUAGCGGUGAAAUGCGCAGAUAUCGGGAGGAACACCAAUGGCGAAGGCAGCUCGCUGGGACGUUACUGACGCUGAGACGCGAAAGCGUGGGGAGCAAACAGG